rnacentral:lncRNA from 1 species
UUUCAAACAAUGUGUAUAAUUUAACCAACUCUUUUGACUCUUUUUUCUAAUCAAUUCCUUUUCGGCACCCACUCACGAAAACAAAAGGCUCCAAUGUAUUGUUCUGUGCAUCUCUUUGAACUUAUGCAGGAAUGUAAAACAUAUAGUGCUAAAUAUUUUAGUUCCUAAUUCAUACAUAGCACUAUAAUUUACCGAAAACAAGAGAUUCGUCUAUAUCCUGGAAUAACUAACUAGUUUUACCUCGGGUAGAAAUUGCUGUGGGAAACUGUAGCAACUGAACUACAAUCAUCAUCACCGUCACAGUAAUUUAGUAACUUUUUUCUAAUGUUAUUAAGUUCCAUGGUGUUUUCGUCUAUAAAAGGAGGCUUAGAGGGGACAGGUAACGGUUCAUCAGUUUUUGCUAGCAUUUUUAGCACUGCUGGCAUCGAUGGUCUUAAGGAUGGUGCUUCUUGGGUGCAAAGAAGUCCUACAUGUAUCGCUUUUAUGGCAUCUUUUCGGAAAUUAACGUUGGGAUAACUAUGCAUCAUUAGGUUUGGGUCAAAUAUUUCCUCCACUGUGCCUUGCUUGAAAUGCUUCCAUGCCUUAGACACUAUGCUUUCGGUAUACUCUGCGCUUUUGCCUCCAUUGUUUUCGAUGCCGGUGACUACCUCAAGAAUUAGAACACCAAAGCUAUAAACAUCCGCCUUUUCAGUUAACUGACCAUGGGCUAGGUACUCCGGAGCCAU